CUGAAGAGGAGGAAGAUGAGGAGGAGGGUGAAGGAGAGACCAACUUUAGUGAAUGGAGGGAUGUUGAAGCAGAAGGAAGGAAAUGGUGGAGUGGGUUUGAUGCUGUGUAUGACCAGUACUGCGAACGGAUGUUGUUCUUUGAUCGGAUGAUUGUGCAGCAGCUCAAAGAAAACGGCUGUCAUACUCCUUUAACUCCAUCACCAAGGUCCACGUCAAAGAAGCUAACAUCCCCCUUUCGGUGCCUUUCAUUGAAAAAGAUUGAAGAUCCUGAAGAUGAAACUGAGUGCCUGCAGCAACCACAGCAUGACCCAUAUCAAGAUCUUGAAAAGGCAUAUGUCGCUCAUGUUUGUUUAACUUGGGAGGCACU
rnacentral:misc_RNA from 1 species